rnacentral:rRNA from 1 species
GACUGACCGAUAGUGAACCAGUACCGUGAGGGAAAGGCGAAAAGAACCCCGGCGAGGGGAGUGAAAAAGAACCUGAAACCGUGUACGUACAAGCAGUGGGAGCCCCACCACUAAGCCAGUGGUGAACUCCACAUACGCAUCCUUUGCUGAGGAUACGGUUAACGGAGCGAAAGCGACGUUCAACCUCAAAAGAAGCAGAGGGGGCUUAGUGGUGGGGUGACUGCGUACCUUUUGUAUAAUGGGUCAGCGACUUAUAUUCUGUAGCAAGGUUAACCGAAUAGGGGAGCCGGAGGGAAACCGAGUCUUAACCGGGCGUUAAGUUGCAGGGUAUAGACCCGAAACCCGGUGAUCUAGCCAUGGGCAGGUUGAAGGUAGGGUAACA